CACGGAGUUANCCGGGGCUUCUUUUCCAGGUACUGUCAUUAUCAUCCCUGGUGAAAGAGCUUUACGACCCUAAGGCCUUCAUCACUCACGCGGCAUCGCUAGAUCAGGCUUGCGCCCAUUGUCUAAGAUUCCC
rnacentral:rRNA from 1 species